rnacentral:rRNA from 1 species
UCAGGACCGAACGCUGGCGGCGUGCCUAAUACAUGCAAGUCGAGCGGAACCAUUGGAGCUUGCUCCUUUGGUUUAGCGGCGGACGGGUGAGUAACACGUGGGCAACCUGCCCUGCAGAUCGGGAUAACUCCGGGAAACCGGUGCUAAUACCGAAUAGUUUGCGGCCUCUCAUGAGGCUGUACGGAAAGACGGUUUCGGCUGUCACUGCAGGAUGGGCCCGCGGCGCAUUAGCUAGUUGGUGGGGUAAUGGCCUACCAAGGCGACGAUGCGUAGCCGACCUGAGAGGGUGAUCGGCCACACUGGGACUGAGACACGGCCCAGACUCCUACGGGAGGCAGCAGUAGGGAAUCUUCCGCAAUGGACGAAAGUCUGACGGAGCAACGCCGCGUGAGUGAAGAAGGUUUUCGGAUCGUAAAACUCUGUUGUGAGGGAAGAACAAGUACCAA